rnacentral:lncRNA from 1 species
AUGAGAUGACAGCAGAUAGGCACACAUAUUGACUGUUAAUCGGUGGCUUCCUCAUCAGCUUCCGCUCCAAGAAGCAACACAAUCCAGCUUUCCCGUCAGUCUUCAAGUGCACACUGGAACUGGCGGUGAGCAGCCCUGCUUUCUGCAUGGAACUGGAGCUGUGUGGAGCUGUUGACAAGUUCUACACUGCUCGUACCCAGACACACUGCUUGGUGUGUUCCGUAGAUGAUGGCUGCCACAUCCUUGUCAUGGACCAGCAGCCAGGCCGGGAGAGUAUGACGACAUGUCUAAGGUGGAGAAAUAAGAGAUAGCACAAGAAGCCUGUGACCAGAGGCAAAACACAGUUCAUUCCUUCAUGAAAGCAGGAAUCUAGGUUCCUACAAUACACAGCAGCAGGCAUAGCAAGAAAGUGGGACUCAAGGAUUUCAGCCAACCUACUGGAUUGUUCUUGGCUCCCGUGAGCAGUUAGGGAAACUGAUGGCCUUGCAAAUGCUAAUUACAACUUUGAAUACCAGGCCUGGUCACAACUGUGGAGAGUUUCCUCUGGAGGACUGUGGUGGGUGGGAUGUG